rnacentral:rRNA from 1 species
UACGGAGGGUGCGAGCGUUAAUCGGAAUUACUGGGCGUAAAGGGUGCGCAGGUGGUCUGAUAAGUCAUGGGUAGAAUCCCUGGGCUCAACCUGGGAAUGUCUCAUGAAACUGUCAGACUUGAGUACGGGAGAGGGCAGUGGAAUUUCCGGUGUAGCGGUGAAAUGCGUAGAUAUCGGAAGGAACACCGGUGGCGAAGGCGGCUGUCUGGCCUGAUACUGACACUGAGGCACGAAAGCGUGGGGAGCAAACAGG